AACGUUUAAGCUUAAUGUAGCCAGCCAGUUGUAACCAUAUCUCUUUCAAAAAUGUUUUAUGCACGCCACGAGGUUCGAAUAGAUUUUGUAAGCACGAGUUUGCCCAUUUAACCUAAAGGUUUGCACCUUUUCAAGCUGGAUAUCGUACUGCGGCUGUCGUCACUAAAUAGCAAACUAUGCUCGGCGUUCAUUGUAUGCCAAUAUACAGACAGAACAGGGGGACACACGAAUAUCAAUGUAAAGCGAGACGGGUCCUGAACUAGGAGCAAUCUCGACAGUGCAUCGCCCAACGGAUGACAGUCUAUAACCCAGGGCGUGUGUGUACACGCUUCCACGGACAGAGAGAGAAUUAUUAUCCGGCCACUCUACUCCGCUACCUACCGUGUUUCUUGAUUACUAUCGGCGCAGCUGCGCCCACAAUUUGUGUUUCCCGUCAACUGUGCGUAAGAGAGCCGUCCGUCAACGUCGUACCCAUAACGAUGCCAGCACCCUCCGCUAAGACGCCGCUGAUAGUUUGAUAUAGACACAUAUUCAUCAUGACCUCUGCUGUGUGCGGAUUCCUUUGCAUAUGAAUUUAUUCUUCUAAAGCGGCACUUCCUUCUUACGAAUAAAUCUUCUAGUUUUUUUUCCAUCAAAUCAUUCACAUGUAAAGCGAGCUAAGGUUUUAUGACUCUUUUUUCAUCGACCAAUUGAUAAUUUAUUUAAAUCCUACUAGCAGAUCGUUAAACUGUUAUAUAAAAGAUGUGGCGUAAAAUAUUCAUUACAGAUAGAACGUUAUAUAAACUAUGCAUACGUAUGUCGUUUUAUGUUCUACUUGUUAUUUCUUCAAUUCUUCCGUUCUUUAAUUCUUUAGUACUAUGUUUUACACGUCAUUAUGUAUGAAUAUUCAGACGAAAUUGUUUAGAAUAAUUACAUACGUCUUAUAAUUUUAACCUAUACUUAUAGAUACAUAUAUCUAUCUGUAUGUUCAAAAUAAUGUAUUGCGUGUCAUAGAUAUCAUCAAAAAGAGAAAAUCUAUUGUAAAUUUGAAGGCUGAUGAUUUUUAAAAUAGUGUAUAUAUACAUAUCCAUAUCUCCUUCCGUUAUGAACUUUCGAAUUCGACAGAGCAAUACAGGCAACUAUCUAAAAGUGAAUGCUCAGAACUGACCGACAUUUUUGGUAACAUUAGAAAAUUGCGACCUUGUGUUCCAACAACGCCAUACCAGUGAUAACAUUAUGAAAAACGUGUUUAUGUGACCCUGUGGUGUACAUCGAAUGACGCUAAUGCCGUCGACAUGUCGAAUUUGCAAGGUCAUACUCC
rnacentral:misc_RNA from 1 species